UUUGAAAAUGACUACUAAAAUUUUUUUGUGUGAUUCAGUAAAUAAAACUAACAAAGAUUAACAAAAAGGGAAAUUAUAUAAAUAAUCUUCAUAUUUGUUCAACAAUCAUUCUAACUAUUAGAAAUCCAACUAGUUUGAAAACCACAGAUCACAGUUAUAUUCAGUUUUUGCCCUUAAGAUAAUUUAAACUUUAAAAGCACGUUCUUUUUAUUAAUGAUAAUGAGGCAGACAACCUUUUGGUUAGACAGCUUGAGAAAGGUCAAAAAGGCUAACCUGUAUGGAAAUCAAAUUUUGAAACUGAAUUCAGACUACACAAAAAAAGAGAAGUUGCCCUGUGCCUAUAUUAGUAUGUAUGGAUAGCAAGGCGAGUUUUAAAAAAUAAUUUAAAAUGGUCUUACUUUUUUGCCUUAAUAAUAUAUCUGUUCUUUUCAAAGAGGCCAUGCUGUAAACAUUUCAGCAGCUGAAAAUACAUGGAAUUCUGUAUACUACCUGGUAAACAUUGCACAAAUUAUUCAGUCUGGCUGUCUACUUUGAUUUAAUUGGAGAGAGAAACUGUAAACUGUUCUAUUUAUAUUCUGAGAACACAGUAUCUCUAAAGACAAAACUGAAUAAAUUUCAUCAUUAUUCAAUAAAAAAUUUGUUUAUAAGGUCAGUUUCAUAGAUAACUAAAAAUAAAUACUAAUUAUUUUUAAGUUUGUGAAAAGUAAAAGCACUAAAGAGAAAUGUUAACUCUCAUUACAUGUAAACUUUUAUCACAGAUUACACAAUUAUACCAUUUUCCAUUAAAAAGUCUCUAUUUUAAUUCAUGGAGCCUGUUUUUUCUUAAGACAAUGGCAAAUCCCUUGUAUAUGUAUACUACAUUUUCUGUAUCCAACUAUGUGCUGAUCAACAUUUGUUUCCACAUGUUGGCUACUACGCCCAAUGCUUCAAUGAACAUAGGAUCUUUCCAACAUCCUGAUUUCAAUUCUUUAAGAUAAGUACCCCAAAGUGGGAUUGCUGUAUUGUAAAAGAGUUAUAGUUUUAUUAUUCUGAAGAGCUUCUAUACUGUUUUCCAUAGUUUCUGUACUACUUAGCAUUCUCACAGUGUGCAAAGGGUUCCAGUUUCCUCACAUUUUCACUAACACUUCUCUCUCUUUUUUUUUUUUGCGUUCUAUUAGAACUCAAAGCUAUCAGAACAUGUGUGAGCUGAUAUCAGGCUUUAAAAAAGAAGGCAAAUCUACACUAAGCUGCAGUACAGAUGAGCCUUGAGGAGGGGGAGCAUUCUCACAGUGUGCAAAGGGUUCCAAUUUCCUCACAUUUUCACUAACACUUCUCUCUCUCUCUCUUUUUUUUUUUUUUUUUUUUUUGAGUUCUAUCAGAACUCAAAGCUAUCAGAACAUGUGUGAGCUGAUAUCAGGCUUUAAAAAAGAAGGCAAAUCUACACUAAGCUACAGUACAGAUGAGCCUUGAGGAGGGGGAGCUAAGUGAACAAAGUCAGUCAAAGGAAGACAAAUACUACGUGAUUUUAUUUGCACGAAGUAUAUAAAAUAGUCAAUUCAUAGUGUCAAAUAGUGGAAUGGUGUUUGCCAUGGACUGACAGGAGAGGAAAGCAAGAAUUGCUAAUCAAUAGACGUAAAGUUGUAGUCAAGCAAGAUAAAUAAGCUCUAGAGAUAGGCUGUAUGACAUUGGACCUAUAGUUAAUAACAAUGUAAGCAAAUAUUUUCAAUCCUUUUUGGCUGUUUGUAUUAGAAGUUAAGACGACUUAUUCUCCAUCUUUUAUCUUUAUUUAUAAGUGUCAAAUUUCUUGUGUUUAAAAUAUUAAGAUUCCAUUCUCUCAAGGGAACUGUUACUUAAAUUGUAUGACUCAUGGUUUCAAUUUUAACAUUAAGCAAGUCUGAAUUAAAAUUUAAGGUUUCAUAAGGUAUAGUUCCACACCACAGAAUUUUAACCUUUCUCAGUUAUACUAUGUGAGAUAUCAAAAGACACAUGUUCGGAUUCAUUUUUGCUACUUAAAAUUUCCCACAGGAGGAUUUAUUUUAUGAACUCUGUGUGUGUGUGUGUGUGUGUGUGUGUGUAUACACACACACAAUUAGCACACAGACAUAAAAUAAGAACAAACUAUACUAUGGCUAUAUUGUUCUUGUCCCAGUCUACAUUAUUUUUUAACGGCCUUGAGUUGUGCAAACACUUACUUGAACUUUCAAAAAUAAUUUUACUUAGGAUACGUAAGAAAUUUUAAAACCACUGUAAGAAUUUUCUAGAUGAAUAAAAUAGUUAUUUCCUUUCUUUGUAUUUUAUUUCAUUAGCUUGUGCGGAACAGGUGGUUUUUGGAGCUAGGUAAGGCCUAUCACUUUGGGAUAUCCCACACUUCCCUGCCAUAAUUGCCACUGCAACAUAACCCCAUUGGCCUGACAACCACCCCUCCCAACUACCACAGUGACCAUGGCCAGCCCCUAUUGGAAGCUUUAUGGCUCCACGCAUUGCCUGAGAGACCAGAAUACCUAUCCUGGCCAACAUAGGGCAAGCUUAUGUUCCCCUACUACUACUGCAGCUGGUACACUCUGGAAAGUGCUACCUUCUGACUUGAAGCCAACCAACUGAGACCAUUAUAGCAACUCAUGACAGAGUAACCCUGCUCCUAAGAAGAAGAAAACACAGCUAAUAGCACUGCCAGCAACAUCCUGGCUAAGCAGAGACCCUGAGUCUAUCCAUGUCACAACUUCACUUCUAGCAUAACCAGCACUCGAGAAAGCCAGCACACCAAACAUUUAUAACCAAGGAUUCUCAAAUCUAUUUCUUUCUUCUGCCACCUCCAUCAGAGCAGGUGCGGGUUUCCAUGGCUGGGAGACCUGAAGACAUAUCACAGGAAUCUUUGCGGAAAUUCCCCAGCACCAGCCCAGAACCUGGUAGCCUUGCUGGGUGGGCAGACCCCCCAGUAACAGUCACUGCAGCCUGGCUAUCAGGAGGCCCAUCCCUAUGGCAAGAGGGAGAGCACCACAUCAAGAAAUUACCUUGUGGGGCAAAACAGUCUGAACAGCAGACCCUGAGUUCCAGAUCUUUAUAUGGAAAAAGGCUACCCAAAUAAGAAGAAACCAGAAAAGUAAUUCUGGUAAUAUCAUGAAACAUGGUCUUAUAACACUCCCAAAUUCACACUGGUUCCCCAGCAAUGGAUCCAAACCAUGAAGAAAUGUCUGAAUUGCCAGAUAAAGAAUUAAUAAGGUUGAUUAUUAAGCUACUCAUUGGCAUACAGAGAAAGGUAAAAGCCAACUUAAAGAAAUUUAAAAAACUUUAACAGAAUAUGAAUAGAAAAUUCUCCAGUGAAAUAGAUAUCAUAAAGGAAAAACUGUCACAACCUCUGGAAAUUAAAGACACACUUAAGAGAAAUACUAAAUGCACUGAAAAUUUUCAACAAUAGACUAGAACAAGUAAAACAAAGAACUUUGUAUGUAAAGCAAAAUGGUAAAAUAUUGUUUAUAACGUUUUCAUCCUAGAUCCUAAUUUUAUUUAGCCUAUAAAAACAUGUUUUGUAGAGCUUUGAUAUACAGAGAUUUCCCAGAACGCAAUGAUUAUUUCCAUUAAAAGACAUUUGCAUGCUGGAUUUGAAUCUUUACUGAAAGUUGCUUGCAAUUUUAAAAAGCAUAGCACACUAUAAAUGAUACUAUCAUUCAUUACAGAUGCUAAAUAAAUCAGCCUGUGUUUUUGGUUGUAUCACAUGUUGUGAUUCUAUGCUGAGGUUCAAGUAUAUAAUGUUUUGUUUUGUUUUUUCCAGCAUAGCUGUGCCCAGUCGGAUAUAUACAGACCUGCAAAUUUGAAUGCAAAUUGUUUUCUUUUAUACUGUAAUAUAUUAAUAUACAUACAAACAGUGUUUUCACAGUUAUUAGUCCAAUAACUGGCUUACAACUCUUUAUUACGGGGACUGCCAAAAUAGCAUCCCAACUUGUCUCUGUCUCUAGUUCUCCCUAUUCUCCACACUCAACAUCUAAAUUUAGAUUAAAUCAGAUGCACUCUUUUCCCCGAAAUCUUUUAAUGACUCCACUUGUUUGUAAACAUUGAAUUCAAAUUUAUUUCAUUAUGCCACUUGUAUAUAUUUUUAAAGUUUAUAUGUGAUUAUAUAGGCUAUAAUCCUGGCCUUUAACAUGUGGAGCCAAAGUAAUCAUUAACUAUGUUGAAAAUUCAAUUUUCAGAUAGCUUCUAUGAUGAUUUAUAAACAACGGGGCAUACUUUCUGACAAUGCCAUUACUUCCUGAAUGUUUUUUACCUAGGAUGUACUAGGAUAAAAGUGAUGUCAUCUCUUUCAUAGUCUUCUUGCCAACUGAUUAGUAUUUACUUUAAAAGACAGGGAUUUUUGAGUGUAUUUUCGUGCACUUGUUUUUAUAAUGAAAUAUAGUAUACAACUAAGGAGAGCGCAAAAUAUCUGGAUGUUUAAGGAAUAACAAUACAAUGAACAUACAUAUAUAUGCUUGUUAGGUUUUAAGCUUAGAAGAAGUACAUUUUAAAAGUCUUCUAUAGGUCCAUCCUAGUCCCACAAGUAUUCCUUGUGCUAUAUUUAAAUUAUUUACUAUUUACAGACUUUCUAAUUAUAUAUAUCCUAAAAAAAUCAUUUUUUUAUUUUAGAAUAGUUUUUAAAAUAAUGUAGUUUACAUUUUUCUAUCCUAUUUCUUUUGUUUAGUAUUUCAUCAUAUAAAUAUGAAACACACUCAAUUGUCUCAAACUGAUGUUUAUGGUUUAAUUUGGUUAAAUGUAGAAAUUGACUUGCCUAAUCUUGAAACUUGAGAAAGUUACUUUUGCCUAAAUUCCUUUCUCAAGAAGCCCACCAUCUGGGCUUCCAGAGAGUAUACAUCUUGAUGGUCUAAGCAUCCACCUACUUGCUAUUGACAAACUCCUCUUCCUUUCCCCUCCCUAAUUUCUGUGUUCCUGCAAGUAGUUACCUUUCUUCCCUGCUAUAUAAACCCUUGUAGAAAAUGAAAACAAAAGUUCUUCUUCAAAGCUUUCCUCUUAGUUCAUUAUAAAUAGUAGGCUCUUUAAAAGUUAAUUUACUCUAGACCCUUUGCUAAUACUCAUGAGUAGCUGUUAGCCAUAAGAAAGAAAGAACUGUAUCUAGGGUUCUUAGUUCUUACACUUUAAAACCUAGAUAUUUUCCCUGGCAUGCCUGGACAAGCCCUGGGAAGUCUUAGAUCGUAGCUUAUUCCCCUUCCUUAUUUGGUAAUGUUAUUGCUUCUCUAAGUCUUUCGUAAGUUACUUCCUCUUUUCCUUUGUUCUCUCUUGCCUUUACUCUUUUAGAAAAUGUUUUGAGUUAUUAGUCCAUCGGUACAGUUGAGAUUGUGAGGCCCAGCUCCUGCCAAUGGAGGCAGGGAACAGCAGUAGGGGCCAGUCCAUAAAGGAUAAAUAUGUCUGUUUCUCCUUGUUCUUUGUACUGUCAUGGCAAACUGCUGGGGAGUGUACCCUUUCUACAUAAAAUAAAGUUUCCUUGCUGAUAGAAACUUUAUAUUUGAAUACUACUUCUUUUUCGGCACCAAAAAUUUACAUAUAACAAUUCUUGUGGCCUGUAUGGCAACCCAUUCCCCUCUGGGGUGGUCUUUGGUUUUCUUUCAUGAGGAGGCAACCCACUGCCUUGUCAUAGCUGCCUCAGCUCUCAAAAGCCACAACACACCUGCUGUGAAAAAUAAACCCAACUCUCAGCUACACAGGGGAAGAACGGCUUGCUAUACUGUAGUGGCCAGGCAACUUCUGGGCACAGACUAAGGUAAGAAAAGUCACGAGAGUGAUGAAGUAUUUUCCUGGUGGUUGGGAUAUUCUGGAAGCAGAGAGGCCCUCCAGGGAGGGGGAAGAAGGUUAACCUCCCAGGAAAAAGGAUAGGCAAGACAUCUCUCGUUUGAGAGACUGGGCCUCAGCAAGCCUCUAGAAAGGAUAAAUGAGACAGCUCUGGUCUCAGAGAUCUGAGAGGAUUGAGCCUCCCAGAAAAAAGGAUAGGCGAGACAUCUCUGGUUUGAGAGACUGGACCUAUCUGAUACCCGAAAUGGGGAAUGCUUCUAGUAAAGUAGGCAUGGGGAGUAAAAACAAAAAGGAGGGUGGGGGCAAUCAGAUCCUCUCUGACGGCCCUUUAAGGCUCACGCUAAAGUAUUGGAAGGACAAUGAAAGGACUAAACAUAAGAAAAAGCAACAAAUGAUAAAGUAUUGCUGUUUUACUUGGACUAAGGAAUCAACCGCCCUCGGUUGUCUGGACGAAAUUUAGGUCAGAUAAGGAUUGGGUCUGUCAACUCUUAAUAAUGUAUGUCAACAACAAAAGCCCCAUCUCACAAGAAAAAAAUAAACUAUGCUCUCUGUUGGCAGGAGCCAGUUCUCUACCCAUUAAGGGAAAGAGAAAAACAAUCAGGAAGUUAAGUCAGGAGCAGUCUCACCUAAAAAGGGUGGAGAUUUUACCCAUAAGCAAUCCACAUGUAAAUAGGACCCUUUAGACCAUCUUGCCUCAUUUCCAACUCUAGCUCCUGCUCCCACCAUCACCACGCGCUGCCUUUUCCUCCCCAAGCAGGUGCUGCCACCAGAUAACCCAACCCAGAAUUCCCUACUUCCCUGUAUAACCCAGGCUCUUAGGAGCCAUCUCAAAGACCUGAUCAUUGCCAGCCUGAGUGUUCUUCCUCGAAGAAAGGGCUCUGGAAGGACACAGAGCAACGUAAAAGAGAUAUUCAAAGUUUUCCUUUCCUCUCUUCCUCCAUGGAAUCAGCUUCAACUUCAAAGCUUUUUCCUCUAAAGGAGGCGCCUCAAGGAGUAGGCACAGUUGGUUUUCUGAAGCCUCAAAGAAGAGGCACAACUGGUUUUGUGAGGCCUCAAGGAGGAGGGGCAUUUGGUUUUGUGAAUGCUCCCUUGACUGCUUCUAAGGUCCAGAGUCUAAUGGGAGAACGUAAGGCAUUAGUAGAUGACCCUGAUGCAGUAGCAGAACAGAUUGAUCAGUUACAUACUUUGACUGAGUUAAUGUCCAUUCUAAGUAUUCUCUUUUCAAAGGAGGAAACUGCAGAUGUGGAGAGCCAGGGAGAGAGAGAGAGAGUGUGCGCAUGAAUAAGAUAGAGACUUAAGGAAGAGACCCUGUGAGUCUGGCAAUAAAAGAUUUAGACAGAAACAGAAAUACAGAAAGGCAGAGAGAAAGAAAGAGAGAGAGAGAGAGAGAGAGAGAGAGAGAGAGAGAGAGAGAGAGAAAUAGUAAAAGAGAGAGAGAAGGGAAAGUAAUAUUAAUAAUUUUAUAGAUAUAAGAAUGUACCUUUAGUAAGGAAAGUUAUAAAACAAUGUUGGAAAGUUAAGGCAUGUCAAAGGUUAACUGAAAGUUGUGAAAAAUGUUAUAAAAAGAAAUUUAUGCAAGAAAUGAUGCAUAAUUUUUGUUUUGAAAGUUUAAGCAAGUUUUGAAAUGUUAAUUGUAAGGAAAUUCUGUGUGUAAACAUAUCGGCUAAAAUUAAAGAGGUAUCAUCCAGUUUUUCUGUAAACUGGAUAUUAACAUAAAAGCACAGCAAGUUUUUCUUAAAGCACUCAUCUGCUCUUUAACAAAGGUUGUAAAAGCUCUCUUAGCACAGGCACCACUCCUGGAACUUCCAGUACACCAAUGCCAGCCUGGAGACCACCCUACCUCAUCCUGCUAACCACCAAGACUGACAUUGGUACAGCAGAAAAGGGAUGAACACAUCACACCAGUCAGGAAAGCUCCAUCAUCAUCAGAGUCAUGGACUAUUGUUCCAGGUCAGACCCUACCAAGUUAAAUCUAAGAAAAUCUUAGACUAUCUCUCUUUUAUUUUUCUUUUCUUCCAUUUAACUACUCUCCAUCUUGUUAGUAAUGUGAUUAGAUCUGACUCCCCUCAAGUUGUUGCUUUUGAUGUUUGUUUAGUUAUGGCUUGUGGAGAUUUGCAUAACAAGAAGAGCCUGCUGCUUUGGAAGGAUGUCUCUGUCCCUCUUAGACUUCUGCAAAUUAGGAAUACAUAAUGAGCUCCUGCAAGCAUACUAGUAAUCCAAGGAAUAGUAACUAUAUUGAUUGGUAGGAAUCAGACUCUUGCCCUUCUAAAACAGAUUCUCUGUGUUCUGUUUGGUCUGAUGUCAUUUGGAAAACUAAGGGUUUAAGAUAGACUGCUUCCACAGGUCUUCGUCAGUCCUUAAAACCAUAUAUCCAUUUCACCAAAGGAACUAUUCCUAGCUCUCAAUAUAAUCUGAUACAGCUUACUAUUGUUAUUGCCAUAUCUGAAAACUCUUUCCUUCAUUAAGUCUUAGUUUUGGUAUAGGAGCUGACAUUUCAGGAAACGACUGAAAGAAAUUUUUGAAAUAUGCUUUAUUGCUCCUUCAACCUCUUUAUCAAUCACUCCUCCUAGACACAAUGAGAAAACCAGUCUCAGUGGUAGAAGUAGAAGACCUAAGCCAAACCAUAGGCAUUGCAACCGGAUAUAAGGAUGCAAAUGCCUGGUUAUAAUGGAUUAAAUAUUCCAUUAAAUAAAAGCUUGUGCACACGGUAGACCAGACCCCAGAUUGUUCCCUUUCCACUUGGAUGGUCUAAUCAAGUGGACAUGAAGUGCCUAACAGCACUUUUUCAUGAUUACAGAGUUUGGAAUAAACGACUGUGCCAAGUUCUUUUGCUGCUAUUUUCUGAAAUUCAUCAUCCUGCGGGUCAUCCCCUGAGGGCCACCCCGACUCCAUCUUCCAAGGCAAAAUUUGCCACGUCUCUCGUGACAGGGGCAGAACGUAGUAUUCCUUGGGAACGUAACAGGAUGCAGUGAAGUCUGGCACUUCCAAGAGCUGACUCAUCAGUCUGCCUUACUCAUCCCCAAGCAGAUGCAAUUUGGAUUCCUUGAGGUGUACCACAUAAACUUAGAGCCUAAGAUCAGACAGCUGCAGGAUUUGAGCCAAUGUUUUUCUGGUAGGGUGGCUCAUGCCUGUAAUUCCAGCACUUUGGGAGGUCGAGGUGGACAUAUCAUGAUGUCAAGAGAUCAAGACCAUCCUGGCCAGCAUGGUGAAACUCCGUCUUUAAUAAAAAUACAAAAAUUAGCUGGGUGUGGUGGUGUGCACCUGUAGUCCAGCUACUCAGGAAGCUGAGGCAGCAGAAUCACUUGACCCUGUGAGGCAGAGGUUGCGGUGAGCCGAGAUUGCACCACUUCACUCAAGCCUGGUGAGAGAGUGAGACUCUGUCUCUAAAACAAAAAAAAAGAAGAACAGAAUUCUUGUUCCUUUUAUUUUCUAGUGGGUUAUUUGUAUUUUUCCUAUUACUUUGGAGGAAUUCCACAAAUUCUUUACCUUUGAAUGUUGGUUGUUAGUGUUCCAGAUGGUUUCUCCCAGUGUGUGGCUGUCAUACUUGUGUUUUUGAUCAUGAUGAGUUAUUACUUAUAGUGUACUUUAUAUUUAUGAUGUAAAUAUAAUUAUCAUGUUUCUGCUCUCUGACCCUGAAAUCAUAUUCUCUAACAUUAUUUUUAAUAUGUUGUGAAUUAUCAUAGUUCCUUUUUUCUUUAUCUGGAAAGCCAGUUGCUCCAGAAAAUCUAGUGAAAUUUCAUCCACUCUUACCACUUUUAUCUGAAAUGUCACUGUGUCAUAAAACAAGAUUACACAUCAGAGUAGACAUGGUUUUUAGGCUAUACUUUUUGUUCUGUUAAUUAACUUUUCUUUCUUUGUGCAAAUACUUAACUCUUGAUUUUGUACUAUCAUUUUUAUUACAUUUUUCUAGUUUGAUGAGGCAAGCCCCCUAACUUUGUUUUCUUAAAUUAUCAUUUUGGCUAUUUUUAGUCUCUCAUCUUCUUAUAUAUGCAUUUUAGAAUGACAAAACAUUUCAAUCACAAUCCAUUUAAUUGAAAAUCAUUACAUGUAUAUAUUAAUGUGGAAAGACUUAAUAUGUCAGUUAUAUCAAACACACUAGUCCAUAAUCAAUUAUCUGUGAUUUCUAUAAUUCAUUUGGAUUAAUAUUUGACCUUUUCUCAAAAUGGAGUGAGAUUUAAUUUCACUAAAAAUUAAUUAUUUAAGUAUGAAUCCACUUAGUCAGCACAGGUUAACCAAGGAAAUGUGUGGGACAUUAACAAAUAAGGGAAAGGUCAAAUUUUCUACCCUCUGGUUAUAGUGGAAUAUUCUGUCUCCUCUCAAAUACUGUAUGUGGUGCAAGAAAAUUUGACAUGUGGCCAGAGUGUGCAGCUAUAAAAAUCACAAAUUUCUUAUUGGCAAUACUUGUUUAAGUUUGAAUAAAAUAAAUAUAAAUGUUCUUCCCCAGCCAUAAUUGAUCAUUUCCAACAUUUUGUUAUGUUGCAACCCAUUUUUGGACAUCUGUAGAAUACAGAGAUCUAGACAACUACCUUAGUUCUUUCACUUAAGACAUGGAACAUAUAAUCUAGUCCUGUAAAGAACUUAGAUUACUUCUUACACAUGAAAUGCACCUUCACACUAAAUGUGUCUGCUUAAAUGUCUCCAUGAUCUGGACUGUCUUCCGGUUUUCUGCUAAUAGCAAUCUAUUCUUCUUUUGUAAACACCUUCAAAUGUAAUUUUUAUUAUAUUAUCCUACUAAACUAACACAUGUGAUUUCAUAGUAGCUAUUGUUAUUCGUCAAUGUGCAUGUUUCCUUCAUUAUUCCUGUGUGUGGUAUCAGCAGUUAGAUAAUAUUAAUACUAGAUUACAAAUAUUUAACACAGUGGCAGAGAAUACGACACAGCCAUAAAAAAUGAUGAGUUCCUGUCCUUCGUAGGGACAUGGAUGAAUCUAGAAACCAUCAUUCUCAGCAAACUGACACAAAAACAGAAAAUCAAAUACUGCAUGUUCUCACUCAUAGGCAGGUGUUGAACAAUGAAAACACAUGGACACAGGGAGGGGAGCAUCACACACUGGGGUCUGUUGGAAGGGACUAGGGGAGGGAUGGGGAAGUGAGGAGGUUGGGGGUCAUAACA